GGUUCUUUGUAGCUAAAUUGGUAAAGCAUGGUGUUAAGAGUGUCAGGGUUGGAGGUUCAAUUCCCGCUGGGGAGCCA